GAUGAACGCUGGCGGCGUGCCUAAUACAUGCAAGUCGAACGCUUCACUUCGGUGCUGAGUGCCGAACGGUUGAGUACUACAUAAUUAACCUCGCAUCUACAGGCGGCUAACUGAUGUAAACUUCCGCUAAGACCCCAUAGGUGUAGCGAUCUCAUAUACUCUAUAUGAUAAUUGCUUCGGGACUGGUAGAUGUGCUACUUAUGGCGCAUUAGUUAGUUGGUAGGGUAACGGCCUACCAAGGCGACGAUGCGUAGCCGACCUGAGAGGGUGACCGGCCACACUGGGACUGAGACACGGCCCAGACUCCUACGGGAGGCAGCAGUAGGGAAUUUUCGGCAAUGGGGGAAACCAUGACCGAGCAACGCCGCGUGAAGGAAGAAGUAAUUCGUUAUGUAAACUUCUGUCAUAGAGGAAGAACGGUGGAUAUAGGGAAUGAUAACCAAGUGACGGUACUCUAUAAGAAAGCCACGGCUAACUACGUG
rnacentral:rRNA from 1 species